rnacentral:rRNA from 1 species
CCUACGGGAGGCAGCAGUGGGGAAUAUUGGGCAAUGGGCGCAAGCCUGACCCAGCAACGCCGCGUGAAGGAAGAAGGCUUUCGGGUUGUAAACUUCUUUUAAGAGGGAAGAGCAGAAGACGGUACCUCUUGAAUAAGCCACGGCUAACUACGUGACAGCAGACGCGGUAAUACGUAGGUGGCAAGCGUUGUCCGGAGUUACUGGGGGUAAAGGGCGUGCAGCCGGGAAGACAAGUCAGAUGUGAAAUCUUGCGGCGCAACCGCGGAACUGCAUGUGAAACUGUGUUUCUUGAGUACCGGAGAGGUCAUCGGAAUUCCUUGGGUAGCGGUGAAAUGCGUAGAUAUAAGGAAGAACACCAGUGGCGAAGGCGGAUGACUGGACGGUAACUGACGGUGAGGCGCGAAAGCGUGGGGAGCAAACAGGAUUAGAUACCCCUUGUAGUC